rnacentral:rRNA from 1 species
GAUGAACGCUGGCGGCGUGCCUAAUACAUGCAAGUCGAGCGAACGGACGAGAAGCUUGCUUCUCUGAUGUUAGCGGCGGACGGGUGAGUAACACGUGGAUAACCUACCUAUAAGACUGGGAUAACUUCGGGAAACCGGAGCUAAUACCGGAUAAUAUUUUGAACCGCAUGGUUCAAAAGUGAAAGACGGUCUUGCUGUCACUUAUAGAUGGAUCCGCGCUGCAUUAGCUAGUUGGUAAGGUAACGGCUUACCAAGGCAACGAUGCAUAGCCGACCUGAGAGGGUAAUCGGCCACACUGGAACUGAGACACGGUCCAGACUCCUACGGGAGGCAGCAGUAGGGAAUCUUCCGCAAUGGGCGAAAGCCUGACGGAGCAACGCCGCGUGAGUGAUGAAGGUCUUCGGAUCGUAAAACUCUGUUAUUAGGGAAGAACAUAUGUGUAAGUAACUGUGCACAUCUUGACGGUACCUAAUCAGAAAGCCACGGCUAACUACGUGCCAGCAGCCGCGGUAAUACGUAGGUGGCAAGCGUUAUCCGGAAUUAUUGGGCGUAAAGCGCGCGUAGGCGGUUUUUUAAGUCUGAUGUGAAAGCCCACGGCUCAACCGUGGAGGGUCAUUGGAAACUGGAAAACUUGAGUGCAGAAGAGGAAAGUGGAAUUCCAUGUGUAGCGGUGAAAUGCGCAGAGAUAUGGAGGAACACCAGUGGCGAAGGCGACUUUCUGGUCUGUAACUGACGCUGAUGUGCGAAAGCGUGGGGAUCAAACAGGAUUAGAUACCCUGGUAGUCCACGCCGUAAACGAUGAGUGCUAAGUGUUAGGGGGUUUCCGCCCCUUAGUGCUGCAGCUAACGCAUUAAGCACUCCGCCUGGGGAGUACGACCGCAAGGUUGAAACUCAAAGGAAUUGACGGGGACCCGCACAAGCGGUGGAGCAUGUGGUUUAAUUCGAAGCAACGCGGAGAACCUUACCAAAUCUUGACAUCCUUUGACAACUCUAGAGAUAGAGCCUUCCCCUUCGGGGGGGCAAAGUGACAGGUGGUGCAUGGUUGUCGUCAGCUCGUGUCGUGAGAUGUUGGGUUAAGUCCCGCAACGAGCGCAACCCUUAAGCUUAGUUGCCAUCAUUAAGUUGGGCACUCUAAGUUGACUGCCGGUGACAAACCGGAGGAAGGUGGGGAUGACGUCAAAUCAUCAUGCCCCUUAUGAUUUGGGCUACACACGUGCUACAAUGGACAAUACAAAGGGCAGCGAAACCGCGAGGUCAAGCAAAUCCCAUAAAGUUGUUCUCAGUUCGGAUUGUAGUCUGCAACUCGACUACAUGAAGCUGGAAUCGCUAGUAAUCGUAGAUCAGCAUGCUACGGUGAAUACGUUCCCGGGUCU